UGGGGAAUAUUGGACAAUGGGCGAAAGCCUGAUCCAGCCAUGCCGCGUGUGUGAAGAAGGUCUUCGGAUUGUAAAGCACUUUAAGUUGGGAGGAAGGGCAGUAAGCGAAUACCUUGCUGUUUUGACGUUACCGACAGAAUAAGCACCGGCUAACUCUGUGCCAGCAGCCGCGGUAAUACAGAGGGUGCAAGCGUUAAUCGGAAUUACUGGGCGUAAAGCGCGCGUAGGUGGUUCGUUAAGUUGAAUGUGAAAGCCCCGGGCUCAACCUGGGAACUGCAUCCAAAACUGGCGAGCUAGAGUAGAGCAGAGGGUGGUGGAAUUUACUGUGUAGCGGUGAAAUGCGUAGAUAUAGGAAGGAACACCAGUGGCGAAGGCGACCACCUGGGCUCAUACUGACACUGAGGUGCGAAAGCGUGGGGAGCAAACAGG
rnacentral:rRNA from 1 species